UGUUAAAUUGUCUCAGCUAUAUACUGUAAAUGCAAUGCUUUCAAAUUAUUAUUUAUUAAAAGAAAAAGAAGCAGUUCCGAUAUAAUACUAUUAAUAUUUCAAAAUCAAUAUUUCACAAUCAAAUUUAGCAAAAUCAUACUAACGUGCAGGUAGCCAUUUUAUUGUCAUGACAUGUAUGUGCACUUUGUAUUAUGUGCCAUUUUUAGCAAAUAAUAUUUUGAAGAUUGAAGAUGUUUUUUAAUGUAUGAAACCAACAUAAAUACGAAUAUGACAUUUUUAAGAGCUUGGCAGAUAUGUUUUGAAUGAGGUUUUAGGCUAAUUAAUGAAAUGCUCUCACUUUUUGUGGUACUCUGAUGUGUAAAAGGGAGACAUCGCCAUCCGCCGGUUAAUUCUAGUAACCGCAGUCUGCAGAGAACUUUUGGCGCCUAGUUGAGUGACAGGUGGCUGAGGGUAAAUUGAGUGCCCAAACCGGGCCAGAGGUUUAUUCAUUUAAAGUAAUUAGAAAUGCACAAAUUGCUUAAGUAAUUUUCCUAAGAAACAUGUUAAAAAGCAUUUGUCAUAUAUCUGGCGUCGAAUAAGCGCUCGAAUAUCAAGGCAAUUAGGUAAUUUCUCACGAGAUUAGAUGUUGUGAGACAAGGUUUCAUGUCGGAUUAGUCUCUGUGCCAAGAAACGCGUUUGGUUUCAACUAAGAACGUCCCAGAUAGGUCUGAUCUCAGCCUCAGUUCCUGAUGUUCUCAGGAACUCUUCUAUAGUUGAAUUGUUUACACAAAGAAAAGCUCUCUGUAACAUACUUCAGUCAAGACAAUACUGAUGAUGAUUCUGAAUGACACAUGGACAAGAUGACUCAAGCAAAUGUAUACGUGUACAGUUUAAGUUUAAAUGAAAUGUGCUUCAAUGAAGAAUGAAGAUAGGAUCAGCCAAAAAUGUUGGUGGUGGCACUACAGAUGACCAUUGACAGAGGAAUGCUUUAUUCAAUUCGUACCAUCCAGAGUUAGAGGGCUGUGCUGUCUUGACAGCUAACGUCCUCCUGGUACACUCCGAUUUGAUAUGAGGCUGACUUUUUGAGACGAGCUCUACACCAUCCUUGUAACAACACACAUUGGCAUUUGGAUCUGAGAUCUCACCGUGCAAAUCAGUGGAGUAGUCUGCUUCAACCAGCUGGUUCUUCACUGUGUCUGGUAAUGCUGAGAACAUCACCGACCAUCUGCCAAGAAGUUAAAUAAUGCAAAACAUGUAACAUCUGUAUCAAAUCACUGCCAACAAGUUGGAUGCAAUGGUGAGAGGCAUGUCCAUAACAGCACUGCUAAGAGACGCAGACAACAAAAAGCUUGAAUUGAACUGGACAGAGUCGUCAGAUGAUUCACAGCGGUACAAUCCAGAAUGACUGGGCUCAGCUGGAUUGACUACCAGUAUCCUUACAUCUCCCUCUGACUGAAUAUCCAAACCAGUCUCUGGCUGAAGCUGCGUAUCGUUGUGGAA